UAGCUGUGAGUUUCCAGAGUUUAAGGGGAAC
rnacentral:piRNA from 1 species